AAUUGGAAUUUUGGGGGUUUUAGGGAUUGGGAUCUGGGACUCCGCCCCUCCCCCCUCACAAACCACGCCCAAAAGGGGGCGGGGCCAAAUUGUAUUUAUUCCAAUGUGGGCGGAGCUUGAAGGUGACCACGCCCCCUUUCCGAACCCUCAAACCACACACCAAAAAGGGGCGGGGCCAAACCAUCUUUAUUCCAUGGUGGGCGGAGCUUUGAUGUGACCACGCCCCCCACAGACCACAUCCACAAAAGUGUGGGCGGGGCCCAAAUUAUCUUUAAUUCAUUGUGGGCGGAGCUUGGUGGUGACCACGCCCCCCACAAACCACAUCCAAAAAAGUGGGGGCGGGGCCAAAUCGUCUUUAUUCCAUUGUGGGCGGAGCUUGGUGGUGACCACACCCCCCACAGACCACAUCCAACAAGGGGGGUGGGGCCAAAUAAUCUUUUAUUCAUUGUGGGCGGAGCUUUGAUGUGACCACGC
rnacentral:lncRNA from 1 species